rnacentral:rRNA from 1 species
CCUACGGGCGGCUGCAGUGGGGAAUAUUGCACAAUGGGCGCAAGCCUGAUGCAGCCAUGCCGCGUGUGUGAAGAAGGCCUUCGGGUUGUAAAGCACUUUCAGCGGGGAGGAAGGCGGUGAGGUUAAUAACCUCAUCGAUUGACGUUACCCGCAGAAGGAGCACCGGCUAACUCCGUGCCAGCAGCCGCGGUAAUACGGAGGGUGCAAGCGUUAAUCGGAAUUACUGGGCGUAAAGCGCACGCAGGCGGUCUGUCAAGUCGGAUGUGAAAUCCCCGGGCUCAACCUGGGAACUGCAUUCGAAACUGGCAGGCUAGAGUCUUGUAGAGGGGGGUAGAAUUCCAGGUGUAGCGGUGAAAUGCGUAGAGAUCUGGAGGAAUACCGGUGGCGAAGGCGGCCCCCUGGACAAAGACUGACGCUCAGGUGCGAAAGCGUGGGGAGCAAACAGGAUUAGAUACCCGAGUAGUC